rnacentral:misc_RNA from 1 species
UCCGAGUUGACCCCGGCAGUCUCCCAUGAGUCCCCGCCAUUACGCGCUGGCAACAUGGAACGAGGGUUGCGCUCGUUGCGGGACUUAACCCAACAUCUCACGACACGAGCUGACGACAACCAUGCACCACCUGUGAACCGGCCCCAAAAGGAGAAACCACAUCUCUGCAGGGUUCCUGGGAUGUCAAGACCAGGUAAGGUUCUUCGCGUUGCAUCGAAUUAAACCACAUGCUCCACCGCUUGUGCGGGCCCCCGUCAAUUCCUUUGAGUUUCAGCCUUGCGGCCGUACUCCCCAGGCGGGGCACUUAUCGCGUUAGCUGCGACACGGAAGGGGUCGAUCCCACCCGCGUCUAGUGCCCAUCGUUUACGGCGUGGACUAC